GGGAGGGGAGGGGGAGGGGGAGGAGCCCAGUUAUAUCAAGCCUGCUCCCCCUUCCUGUUCACACACUACCUGAGCCUGCAGAACCUAAAGGAUGUUCUCAGCCUGGAACUGUUCACUGGCCUGGAACUGUUCACUGUCUCCCUUAAAACUGCUGUGUAGGCAUUAAAGGAAUGGGCUGAUGUUCACGGAUGUAUAACGAGAAAAUCAGGAUGUCACAGACCAAGUAUAGUCAAUGUUUUUCAUCUGUUUGCUUUUGUGCAAUGCAUAACGUUUCGUUCUUUCACAUCAAAUUACUGGUAAGGUCCUGAAAUUUCACAGAAAAGUCCUGAAAUUUCAUGGAAAGGUCCUGAAAUUUCACGGAAAGGUCCUGAAAUUUCUCAACCAAUACCACUUGUGUCCUCUAUAUGUUUUUCUAUUGGUUGUUUUCAGGGUAUUACACCAGGGAUGUAUGUGGUUGGAGGGUUCACUGUUUUUGGAUAGAUUGCAUUGUUAUUUUCAGGUGUUGACUGAGAGCAGUUUCCCUGCCGGUUCAGGAAAGUCCUGUCUCUACAGAAGAUCAAAACUCAACUGAAUGGACCUUGAAAAUAUUCAAGUGUGUGUUCUAAGAAACACCCUGGUCUUAGAGCGCUGCACUGGGCACAAUGUUUUCUUAGUCUGUUUUUUGUAAUUGGAUCACAUAGCGUCUUACUCACGACAACCUUAUCAUACUGUCACUGACUGGGAAAGCUAUCACUGUAAAAGUUGGCAAAGACAUUUUUUAUUAUAUACAUUAUUAUAACUACAAGACUUCCUACAACUUACAAAGCAUCUAAAAGGGAGCUGAACAUGCAUUGUUCCUAAACAUAUCUGUGCAAUAUAAAAUAAAAACAAGCAGCAAAAUAAAGAAUACAGUGGAUUGGCACUUCCAUUGGUUCCAAUUGUUCCAAUGGGCUGUUGAAAGUCAUAGCUGAAGACUUCUGUUGCAGUUUGUGGCUGACUGAUGUUUUGUAAUUUUAACACUAAAGCACUUUUUAAGCAAAGUAUUUUCUGAUAUUUUUGUAACCAUGAUGAUUAUUUUGUGUUGAAUUGCAACAGUACUGCUGAUCUAGUUAUGUUACAGCCUGAGGGAUGUCAAAUACGGUUGCCUAAAAGUAAAUAUAUUUCAAGGAAUUAUUCUCUGAUAUGUUUCUCUCGUUUUGCGAUAUGAAAAUAGAUAUUGUAAUUAAUUCAUAUUUUUUCUGUUCCACUGUUCUGUAAGAAUUUUUCACUGUGCAUGUUAAAUUGCAUAAUUAAUUGUCAAUAAAGGGGUUAUUCUGUCA